rnacentral:lncRNA from 1 species
GGGAAUGGUCACAAAGAAAGAGGGAGAGGAAAAGCCCAUAAGCUUACCUUCUUAACAACAGGGAAAUAAAAGCAGACCAAAAAGGGACAGGAGCAGCAAAGAUAGUGAAGGAGGUCACACAGUUUGGCCCAAACUGUGGGCUGAAAGCUGUGCCAGGACGGGCAGCCAUUCUAUGGAGUCCACAGGUAGCCAGCCUCCCUUGAAGAUGUU